rnacentral:rRNA from 1 species
AUGGAACCAACUCAAAUUUUUGUUGCCAUGUCAUUUGCUUUUUGGUACAACCGGUUUUCAGUUUUGCUACCACCAUCUUCAGUUCUUGCUGGAACCAAUCAAUUUUUUUGCUACCACCAUGUUCGUUUCUUUUUCAUGGAACCAACCCAAAUUUUUGCUACCAUGUCAUUUGUUUUUGGUACAACCACUGUACAUUUUUGCUACAACCAACCUCGGUUUUUGUUGGAACCAAUCAAAUAUUUUGCUACCAUGUUUUUGGGGGGAACCAGUGCAUCAAUUUCUUUGCUACCACCAUUUGAGUUUUUGCUACAUCCAACACGCAUCAGUGUCAUGUAA